UGUCAGCAGACAAUGGACCAGACAACAAGGACCAGGUGGCCAGAGCAGGCUGGUUUGGUCAGGGCUUGGCUAUCACAUUCGCGUCACAUGAGAAUGAUGCCAGGAUCCUGAGUGAUGGGCAGCAUCGCUUUGAGAUGCAGUAGAGGACUCACCAAUUCUGGAAUGUGACCAUCUGUCCUUCAGGAGAGGACAUGAGGGUGGGGGUGAAGGAGACACCACUGCUCCCACCCCUGACAGCCCCCACCCCAUGGCUUCCCUCCUCUGCAUCAGCACCACCCCUGAACCCCCAUUCUUGAUUGUCAGAAUUUUUAACAUCUUAACUAGAAAUGGAAGACAUGUGUG